GGUGAACGCUAGCUACAGGCUUAACACAUGCAAGUCGCGGGGCAGCAUGGGGGUUGCUUGCAAUCCCCGAUGGCGACCGGCGCACGGGUGAGUAACGCGUAUCCAACCUGCCCUUCACCACGGGAUAACCCGGCGAAAGUCGGACUAAUACCGUAUGUUGUCCAUUGACGGCAUCCGAUUUGGACGAAAGGGUUGGCGGUGAAGGAUGGGGAUGCGUCCGAUUAGCUGGACGGCGGGGUGACGGCCCACCGUGGCGACGAUCGGUAGGGGUUCUGAGAGGAAGGUCCCCCACACUGGAACUGAGACACGGUCCAGACUCCUACGGGAGGCAGCAGUGAGGAAUAUUGGUCAAUGGGCGUAAGCCUGAACCAGCCAAGUAGCGUGCAGGAUGACGGCCCUAUGGGUUGUAAACUGCUUUUAUGCGGGGAUAAAGUGGCCCACGUGUGGGUUUUUGCAGGUACCGCAUGAAUAAGGACCGGCUAAUUCCGUG
rnacentral:rRNA from 1 species